rnacentral:rRNA from 1 species
AUACAGAGGGUGCGAGCGUUAAUCGGAAUUACUGGGCGUAAAGCGCGCGUAGGCGGCUUGGUCAGUCGGAUGCGAAAGCCCCGGGCUCAACCUGGGAAUGGCAUUCGAUACUGCCAGGCUAGAGUAUAGGAGAGGGAAGUGGAAUUUCCGGUGUAGCGGUGAAAUGCGUAGAUAUCGGAAGGAACACCAGUGGCGAAGGCGACUUCCUGGCCCAAUACUGACGCUGAGGUGCGAAAGCGUGGGGAGCGAACAGGAUUAGAAACCCCAGUAGUCC